GCCCUAACCCUAAAUAACAACAAACCAGCCGCACCACUCCAUCUAUUCCCCCUUUCACCGCCGCCUAUCACCCAAUCCCGCCCAAACUCGGACGAGUUCACCCGAACCCACUCGCCCAUGGUCCCCCUCUCAUUCUCCACGUCACCCAAACCCUAACAAACUCUGACACAAGAAUAUUCCAUCCCUUCUCUCACGCGUUUCUUUGAUUUUGAGGAUCAAAUUCGGAUAAAUGGAGACCGUUGAUUGAUUUACAAUCAAUCCUCGCAUUCCAUCUGUCCCGAAUUGGUUCUAGAGAGUGAUUUCCAGAAUUUCAGAUUUUUUAGGGAGUUUGUUUUUGGAUUUUCUUGGGGGAAAAGUAUGGAAGCUUCUAGGUUCCCUAUAUAAAGGGUUCAUUUUAGGAUUUUUAGGGGAUUUGUGGGGAGAAAAUAUUUGGAUAAAAAAAGAAGAAAGGGUUCUAGGGUUUUGAGAAAUUCCAUCUUCUUCAAUUUUCCUUUCCGAUCUAUCUGUUUAUUUAGAUUUCAAAAUCAGAAAAAAAAAAUACAAAAAAAUAUACUUCUGUUUCUUCAUUUCAAUUUCGGAAAUUUGGUUUUGAAAAUGGAGUCAAGCUGAAGUGGGUGUCCGAUUUGGAGUUUCCGUUCGAGAUUGGUCCAUGGAUUCCUGUUGAUUAUUCUGGUUGAUGUUCUAGUUUCGACGUUGGAUUUUCCUGUAAUUGCUGCUUCCGAACAGAAAAUAUAUUGAGGAAAGCUACUUAAAGGCAUUGAAGUGAUGGAUGUUUCAAAAGGAAGCAUAGAUCUGCAUCUGAGUCAAAAUGUGCUCAAAGUUAUCUGUGGACUUCUCAAUGGGAUGUGAAUGCAUGCCUUCCGUUUGCUCGAGCUCGACUCCGACCGUCCGAAUUGGCAAUGACUACUAAGUUUGAGACUCUUCUUCAGUUGAAACACUAUAACGAGUUCGUAUUCUUUCCACUGCUUGAAAGAAGCUGCCAUCUUGACACUUAGCAGAAUUUGGAUUAAUUAGUUCCACCUUACUUUUCCCAUAUCUAAGUCCUUAGGUAGUUGAAAUUGGUACUCCUGGGGAAAUAAUAGCAAAUUAUCGAUUUAAAUUAGUGAACUUUUUGCUUUUUUCUCUUUUUUUUUUUCCUUCUCUUUAGACUUAUGUGCUGCUCCCUUUUAUUGUUUGAAUUACUGUAUCUUAUCUGAAGGAUAUCAGUAGGACAUUACUCAUGGAUGUUACUUUAUCUAUGAUCGACCUAGUCAGAUCAGUUUCGUAGUAGUAGUUAAAUAUGAAUUGACUCCCAGCUGUAUCAUGGUUAAGUGAGAGAGUCCAAUUUAUUACAUUUCCUAGAAUUUCUUAUCA